AAUUUCAGACACUGUCUCGCUGAUUGAUAUGGAUGCCAGAUCACGUGCCAGACAAUUGCCCAGCAGAAUGGCAUACAAUUGCAGGUUAGUCUCGUUUAUGCAAACUGCAGAGCACGAGCUUCUCCCCGUCUAAGCGAGCCAUUUCUCCUCGUAUAAUGGGAGUUAUUUCAUUUCAUACCGCCCAAUUUAAUUGGUUCCAUAUGUGCAUGGAACAAAAUACUCUUGUACAAUACUCAUUCUGUGCUCAAAAUUACAAUUUAGCUUGAUGUUAGAUAUGACUCGGAGAAAGAAAAAAAAAAGAUCGAAGGUUAUCAUGACUUUCUUUGGUUUAGUGCCCGUCAUGCCAGAUCAGUCAUCGUACCGAUACAUGUACCGUUUGAGGCUAUUGUUGAAUGUCCCUUCGAUUGGAUACCGCUUAAUGGGAACAUAGAGUAGUGCGAAAUGUCUUUAGUAUUCCUUGUGAUAUAACGGCGAGUUGUCUUUAAUUCAUUUGUAAAGAGUAGAGCAGAGUAGAGCCCGAGGAAAUAUGUAUUAGAUAACGAGCAAAAGGGAGCAAGAACGAACCCUCGAACGCCAACGGAAUAGGUUGUCACGGAGCUCGGAAUUCGGGAACGUAACACUACGUAUAUCUACUACAUAGUAUGCUAUUCCGACUAACUGCGUCAACACCGUCAAGUGUCGACGUUCAUGAGCACCGCACACGAGACCAUCAUUUUCACUUCCUGUCUGUCAUAGGUAUUACCUCAUGCAAAACCUCCUCCACGAGUCCAAACCGCGGUGUAACGAUGCACGGGUGUGGCCACGUUUUUGAUACGUACGUACAAGCUGGUAUUAACUCCGAUACGUGAGAAAUAAAAUUGGCCAACGGGAAGCCACGCUGGGACCCUGAGCUUUGGGCAGUGUUUUCUGAUUGGCGCCUUUUUCGUUUUUAUCGUCUUGAGGGCCCACUCUGCAGCUCAUAUUUAUUAUUUAACCUUUAGGUUCCCUUUUAAAUCCGGGCCUAGAACGCUUAUUAUUCUGAUCAGCGAUCGAAUUUCUGGAAGAAUUAACUAUCUAUCGUACGAUAUCUUCGCUGUUCUUACUCUUCAUACCUAUGACCGUUGUCGGCGACAAAAAUUUCGAUGACAACGUCCAUGUUAGUCAGCUUGAAAGGAAGAAAGGAAGGGGAGAGGCUGAGAAUUGUUUAAAUCGCUCAAGAAGCAAGGCUUGCUACGUCAUUGAACAUCCCGCCUCUCGAUUCACACAUACUAGAGUUACUAGUAGUAUAGCAGUACCCUGCAAGAAAACUCUGAAUGAUCCUGUGAUACCAGCCUACCUGCACGAGGGAAAAAAGACGCAAUAACUCACUCUCAUAGUUAGUACAAAGGGACGGUUGAUUGAUUAAUCAACUGCAUGAUCGGCAGUUUUGACCAGUCACCACUCGCCAGUUUGGGACUCGGGAUAAAAAUCCGAGACCGCAGUGCACACCAAUACGUAAUGGUCGCCUUCAUAUCUCUCUCCCCUUGAUCAGCGAUUAUCAGAUAAAAACAACGACUGUGGGCCCGCACGAGCCGCAAGAGCCGCAGGACCCGAUCGUGAGACUGGAAGCAUUGGCUGUGUUUGACAAUGAACCAUGUACCUAGGCAUGGUAGAUUUCUCUCUCGUGGGAUUCGUACGCGCAGUAUACAUCUGAUUGACCUCGGAGUCUCUUUGUGAGCGACAAUUAGGGUUGGGGUAUGUGACAGGUGGAAAAUGGGCCAAAUAACUUAGUUAACUGUGUGCCUGCGCACAGGUAAACGGCUCGUCCCAAGCGCGGCGGUUACAUCCAUGUUUUUAGUAUGACUCACUCUAGCUCUUGCACAUCAGUUGCAGGGAAAUAUCAAGCAAGGAAAUACCUAUCGCUCGUUCGGGUCUAUGCGGCUCAUUGCUUAUCGGUUAAGAAGAAUAAAUGUCAGAGGAAAGACUUCAUUCCGUCUGCUGAAUUCCAUUGGGAAAGUCCCAACAUACAUGCGCAAAUAAAGAGGGUAUGGCACAACUUAGAGUUGAUAAAGCCAGGGUUAGCGAGGCACUAGAAUGGUGAGAUAGAUCUAAAAAAUAAGCACCCUAGAGUACAGUUAAACACUUGUCUCGAUGCAACGUUGACAGGACAGCUAAGCCUGAUCAGCUUUAAUACUUGGUCGUUAUCCAGGACUGAUGUUGCACGUAGGUAGAGUAGUACAUGGCAAGCGUAGGCGCAUGCAAGCGCGGGGAGCAUCUAGUUAUCGACGAUAAUAUGACCCCGACAACGGCGAAAGGUUACAACAGGCUGGUCAUAUCGGCCGCGUCUCAAAAUGAUUAUUAUGUAUGAACGGGAUCAUGCAGCCAGCUAAUAAUUCAAUCACAUAUAAGAUGCCGGUGACUAGCUUCACAUUGGCUUGGAAAAUGUUUCAAUUGACCACCCGGUCACUCACCUGAAUUGAAAACCGCGGCCAGCUGAGCUGAUUGCGACGGAGUCAACGCUGACUGUGCAUUGAUGGCUGAUGCAAGUUGUGAGCUAGAAGCCUUCUCGAAUGCUUCUGCACAUCCCCGUUGCCCUGACGUGGCGGCCCAC
rnacentral:lncRNA from 1 species